rnacentral:piRNA from 1 species
UUGUAGUAAAAAAAACUGCAUGGUAC